rnacentral:rRNA from 1 species
GGACAUAUCUCUGGUGGACCUGUUGUCCUGCCAAGGGCAUAGCAGGGUAGCUACAUAUGGACGGGAUAACCGCUGAAGGCAUCUAAGCGGGAAACCCACCUGAAAACGAGUAUUCCCUAUCAGAGCCGUGGAAGACGACCACGUUGAUAGGCCGGGUGUGGAAGUGCGGCAACGCAUGAAGCUUACCGGUACUAAUAGCUCGAUUGGCUUGAUCGUUCUCAUU